UGCCUGGGCUAACAAAUCGGGCCAGAUGCUGGUAGGAGACCAGUGAAUUCAUCUGAGCUUCCUCAGGCUAACGCCUCAGCUUAGUCUUGCAGCCCCUGCAGGCACCUUAAGGGACCGCAAUUCGAAAUUGUACGAAACAACUGCACGAUGCUGUGUCGUCCUGCCAGUAGCCCAGGGGCGCCGGGAAGGUGCGACCUUAUUAAGAGAGAGAGUAUAGCACGUGCAAGCGGGGGUAGAGACGGAGAGAAUCUUCAAGCAGACUCUCCAAUGAGUGCGGAGCCUGACAUGGGGCUUGAUCCUGUGACCCUGAGAUCCUGACCUGAGCUGAAACCAAGAAUUGGAUGCUCAACCGACUGAGUCACCCAGGAGCGUGGAGAGGAGGUGAUUUGAAGGGAUCGGUUCAUGUGGCUAUGCGGCUGGUAAGCCCCAGCUCUGUAGAGCGGGCCGCAGGUUGGGUUGGGGAGGGCUGACGCUGCAGAUGAAGCCUGAAGGCAGUCUCCCGGCGGAAAUAGCUCUAGCUCGGGGAGGUCAGUCUUUUGCUCUGUGCGGUCUUUUACCUGAUUGCGUGAGGCCCACCCACAUUAUGGAGGGCAAUCUCAAACUCUAAUGACUUAACUGUUAACCUCAACCCAAACUGCUAACCUCAUCGUAGACACAUCCAGAAUAGUGUUUGACUACCUGCGUGGGCACCACGGGCCAGCCAAGCUCACGUAUAAGUUCACCAGCACAGGUGUGUAUUACUGUACACAUUUUACAGGUGAAGCAAUCGGGGUUUAGACACUAAGCAAUGUAACUGAGAUCGCAAAGCCAGGGAGUAGCAGCUUUAGGCUUUUCUGUCCUUAUUGCUUCAAACCCCCGUGUUUCUGUAUUUAAAGCGUGGGCUCUUAGCCAUUUUGUCUCAUUCUCUCCUUUCCUGCAGGGGUGCUGGAGAGCGUAGGUCGGAAAGUCAGUCAGUGUUUGCAUAUGAGCGGACUCUAAGGAUAGGCAGAGCAGAAGUAGCUAAGACAUGUUGGCCGGAGGAGGGGUGGUCUCAGGAACCAAGUAGGAGAGGGACCUGAGGCACUGGGCCUCGUCAGACCUACCAGACGUUGCUGGUUGGUUUCCUGGUGGUGAGCUGGACAGUGUAGAGUAGUUUGGGAAGGGUUAGUGACAGGUGAGAAAAUGCAGCAGGGAAAGGACCACGAAUCCCAA
rnacentral:lncRNA from 1 species